ACUCCUACGGGAGGCAGCAGUGAGGAAUAUUGGUCAAUGGAGGCAACUCUGAACCAGCCAAGUCGCGUGAAGGAUGAAGGUCUUAUGCAUUGUAAACUUCUUUUGCAAGGGAAUAAAGUGGGGGACGUGUCCUCCUUUGCAUGUACCUUGCGAAUAAGGAUCGGCUAACUCCGUGCCAGCAGCCGCGGUAAUACGGAGGAUCCGAGCGUUAUCCGGAUUUAUUGGGUUUAAAGGGUGCGCAGGCGGGAUGUUAAGUCGGCGGUGAAAUUUUGCAGCUCAACUGUAAAAGUGCCUUCGAUACUGGCUUUCUUGAGUGUGGAUGAAGUAGGCGGAAUUUGUGGUGUAGCGGUGAAAUGCUUAGAUAUCACGAGGAACUCCGAUUGCGCAGGCAGCUUACUAAACCACUACUGACGCUCAUGCACGAAGGCGUGGGGAUCAAACAGGAUUAGAUACCCUGGUAGUC
rnacentral:rRNA from 1 species